rnacentral:rRNA from 1 species
CCAUUGCGGCAGCCUUAUACAUGCAAGUCGAGCGGCAAGUCGAGGAGUAAUCUGAGACCUAGAGCGGCGCACGGGUGCGUAACGCGUAUGCAACCUACCUUAUACAGGGGGAUAGCCCGGAGAAAUCUGGAUUAAUACCCCAUGGUACAUAUUGAUGGCAUCAGAGAUAUGUUAAAGAUUCAUCGGUAUAAGAUGGGCAUGCGUCUGAUUAGCUAGUUGGCGGUGUAACGGACCACCAAGGCGACGAUCAGUAGGGGUUCUGAGAGGAAGGUCCCCCACACUGGCACUGAGAUACGGGCCAGACUCCUACGGGAGGCAGCAGUAGGGAAUAUUGGGCAAUGGUCGGAAGACUGACCCAGCCAUGCCGCGUGCAGGAAGACGGCCCUCUGGGUUGUAAACUGCUUUUAUCUGGGAAGAAAAAGGCCAUGCGUGGCAAAUUGCCGGUACCAGAUGAAUAAGCACCGGCUAACUCCGUGCCAGCAGCCGCGGUAAUACGGAGGGUGCGAGCGUUGUCCGGAUUUAUUGGGUUUAAAGGGUGCGUAGGCGGCUGAUUAAGUCAGCGGUGAAAGACUUCGGCUUAACCCGGAGCAGUGCCGUUGAUACUGGUUGGGCUUGAGUGUCGGAGGGGUACAUGGAAAUUGAUGGUGUAGCGGGUGAAAUGCAUAGAUACCAUCAGGAAGCACCGAUAGCGAAGGCAUUGUACUGGCCCGACAACUGACGCUGAUGCACGAAAGUGUGGGGAUCGAACAGGAUUAGAUACCCUGGUAGUCCACACCGUAACGAUGAUUACUCGCUGUUAUGGUGUAUGCUGUAGUGGCCAAGCGAAAGCGUUUAAGUAAUCCACCUGGGGGAGUACGCCGGCACGGUGAAACUCAAAGAAUUUGACGGGGGGUCCGCCACAGCGGGUGGGAGCAUGGUGGCUUAAUUCGAUGAAUACGCGGAGGAACCUACCUGGGCUAGGAUGGUGGAGGAAUGAUAUUAGAGAUGUUAUCAGUCAGCAUGAACUGAACAAGGUGCCUGCAUGCCUGUCGUCAGCUCUGGCAUGGAGGGGAUGGGAUAGUUCCGCACGAGGCCUAACCAAUGUGAGUUGCCAGCCAGGCUA